GGCCCCGUAGCUCAGCUGGAUAGAGCAACUGCCUUCUAAGCAGUAGGUCCUGCGUUCGAAUCGCAGCAGGGUCA
rnacentral:tRNA from 1 species